rnacentral:tRNA from 2 species
GCGGCCGUGGCGGAACUGGCAGACGCGCACGUUUGAGGGGCGUGUGAGAGAUCAUACGGGUUCAAGUCCCGUCGGCCGCACCA